CGAAAGCUAGGUCUCUUUAGUAGUAUAUAAGCUAGGUUUCUCUAGGUCUUACAUUAAUAUGUAAAUUUUAACAAAUCUCCUUCUUCGUUCGAUCUGAAAUCAUGAAUUCAUAUUCCUUAACGAAUGAUCUCAUCAUGGAGAUAUUGUCGAGAUUGCCAGCAGAGUCGGUCGUGAGGUUUUGUUGCGUGUCAAAGCGAUGGGCAUCAAUGUUUGGUACUCCAUAUUUCAAGGAGUUGUGCCGGACCAGGUCCACGGCUAAUCCGCGCCUCUUAUUCUCAGUCUGAUU